AUUGAACGCUGGCGGCAGGCCUAACACAUGCAAGUCGAGCGAGCGGCGGACGGGUGAGUAAUGUCUGGGGAACUGCCCGAUAGAGGGGGAUAACUACUGGAAACGGUAGCUAAUACCGCAUACUAUCGGAUGAACCCAUAUGGGAUUAGCUAGUUGGUGGGGUAAAGGCUCACCAAGGCAACGAUCCGUAGCUGGUUUGAGAGGACGACCAGCCACACUGGGACUGAGACACGGCCCAGACUCCUACGGGAGGCAGCAGUGGGGAAUUUGGGACAAUGGGGGAAACCCUGAUGCAGCCAUCCCGCGUGUAUGAUGAAGGCCUUCGGGUUGUAAAGUACUUUUGGCAGGGAAGCGUUAUCUGCAGAAUAAGCACCGGCUAACUACGUGCCAGCAGCCGCGGUAAUAC
rnacentral:rRNA from 1 species